AAGAAGCGUUUUUACCAGAAUCAUGUUAUACUCAACUGAUAUGAAUCUGCAUAUAUGUUGAACAAACCUUACAGCUAAUAGCACAUAUACAAUUGUUCCGAGUACAAGAGCUUCAGACAGACCACUCAACAACUGAAGACAACAUUCCAAAAGGAAAAAGGGUUUAAAAUGUGCAAUCAAACCAUGGUGGGCGAGCUUGUUUCACCUCAGACUUGAUUUCCGCCAUCAGACCUUAUUCCCUACCAAACUCUAUAAAGAAUGUCAUGGCAUCCAGCUUUGACUGCACCUCUUAGGUAGCUUAUCAUUGUCCCUCGAGUUGAAGAUUGUUUAGAUGCUUUGUUCCCUAAAGUUAGUUUUUCACGCUACAAGUUCAUAACAGCAGAUACAUGCUGACUAAGGGACAGGAAAGACAGCUGAGAAGCUCAACAAUAUGGCCCACCUGGUUAGACUACUGAACUUCAAAUCUCACUUGAAGUUAUUAAUUCGUUUUGCUGAUAACAAAGUAUUGGAGAGAAGCAUUGCUAUAGUCAUGGGCCCAACUCCUCCAGGAACAGGAGUAAUAGCUGAAGCAACCUUGAUGGCCUCCUCAUAACAAACAUCUCCAACUAGUCGAUAGCCUCGAGGAUUUGUAGCAUCCUCCACAGGAUUAAUCCCGACAUCAAUAAUUACUGCCCCAGGCUUGAUCCAGCUACCUCUAACCAUAUUUGGUUUCCCUACAGCAGCGAUUAUGAUAUCUGCUUCUCUUGUGAUCUCCUCUGGGUUAGUGGUUCUGGAAUGAACUAUGCUGACGGUGGCAUCUUCCCUCUGCAGCAGCAGGGCAGCAGGCAUUCCAACUAUAUUGCUCCUGCCAAUGACAACCGCUUUUUUCCCCUUAAUUUCCACAUUGUACCGAUGAAGAAGCUCAAUGCAUCCUUUUGGUGUACAGGGGAUAAAUAAGGGCUCUCUACCUCGCAUCGCAAGCUGGCCAAUAUUUAGUGGGUGGAAUCCAUCCACAUCCUUCUCAAUGCAAACAGCAUGUAGGAUUUUCUCCUCAUCCAUAUGCGAAGGCAAUGGUAGCUGAACAAGAAUUCCAUGAACCAUAGGAUCAUCAUUGAAGUCUGAAAUAUACUUGAGAACUUCUUCCUCUGUUGAGUUCUCAGGCAAACACACUUCAUAGGAUUUGAUCCCAGCAGUUUCACAAGCUUUUUUCUUGUUGCGAACAUAAGUUGCAGAAUCCUUCCUAUCCCCAACAAGUAUAACUGCAAGGCCAGGAACAACACCAAUCGAAUCUUUCAUCCUAGUUAUUUCAGCAUUUAUUUCAUCUCUAACAUCUUUUGCAACUUUUUUCCCAUCAAUCACUUUUACCAAUGCCUCAUUAGCCAUCGCAGCGGUGAUGAUGGAGGAGGAGGAAAACGUUGGACGAGUGAUGAUGGUUCUGGGGAAAGAUGGGUUGUAAAGGGGAGCCACAGAGGAACGGAAGCGAAUUUGGUGGGGCCCAAGAAGUGGUAAAAACCGAGCUGCGGCUGCGGCGGUUGACGGCGGUGAGCAGUUGUUUAACUUCAUCUUCAUCAUUGUUAUCGGAGAUGACGCCAUUUUCUGACAAAGAAGAUGAAGUUGAGCUCUA
rnacentral:misc_RNA from 1 species